rnacentral:rRNA from 1 species
GACGAGGCACUACGGUGCUGAAGCAACAAAUGCCCUGCUUCCAGGAAAAGCCUCUAAGCAUCAGGUAACAUCAAAUCGUACCCCAAACCGACACAGGUGGUCAGGUAGAGAAUACCAAGGCGCUUGAGAGAACUCGGGUGAAGGAACUAGGCAAAAUGGUGCCGUAACUUCGGGAGAAGGCACGCUGACACGUAGGUGAAGUGAUUUACUC